rnacentral:rRNA from 1 species
AUACGUAGGUGGCGAGCGUUGUCCGGAAUUACUGGGCGUAAAGGGCGCGCAGGCGGCGCGUUAAGUCCGGGGUGAAAUCCAUCGGCUCAACCGGUGGGGGACCUUGGAUACUGGCGCACUGGAGUGCGGGAGAGGGAAGCGGAAUUCCACGUGUAACGGUGAAAUGUAUAGAUAUGUGGAGGAACACCGGUGGCGAAGGCGGCUUCCUGGACCGUAACUGACGCUGAGGCGCGAAAGCUGGGGGAGCGAACAGGAUUAGAUACCCUGGUAGUCCCAGCCGUAAACCAUGAACACUAGGUGUGGGGGGUAUCGACCCCUUCCGUGCCGCAGCCAACGCAAUAAGUGUUCCGCCUGGGGAGUACGGCCGCAAGGUUGAA